rfam:Lepisosteus oculatus linkage group LG7, whole genome shotgun sequence.
GCCAGCAGCCAUAUCACCCUGCAACUCACAGCUGGCAGCCCACUGAAGCUCAGCAGGUGUGACCCUGAUCAGUACCUGGAUGGGAGACCUCCUGGAAAAAACUAAGGCUGCUGCUGGAA